GAACUUAGCAAUCAUUCAUUGCUCCGUCUUCUUCUUCAAAGGAUAACUUUAUAUAGAGUUUGGAAGAAUGAGCCGUUGCAAAUCCCAUUUUGGUUGUUGAGAGAUUUUGAACUUAGAUAGCUUCAUCUUCUAGCAUCUGACGAGCAUGGAUGGAGAGAUGCAUUAAAUGCAUUCCAUGCAGCAUUAAAUGUCAAUCUCCUUUUCAAGCAACAUCAUGAUAGAUGACAAUACUUAUCAACACAAGGUUAGAAAACUUUUUUCUCAAAACAAAGUAAAAGAAAAGACUAUACAACACAAAUAGCUUGAUUAGAGUUGACAAAAGCUUGUGUCAAGUUGGUUGUUGAGACAAAAUAGCUUUAACUCAUAUCCCAAGUGAUCUUGAUGUAAAUUUGUGCUUUGCGAAUCAUUUGGGGAACAUAUUCAAGGAUAUUUUUGUUAGGUACAAUGUAAGCUUAAAGACGUCUGUAAAAGUUUUCACUUAUCAAAUGAAGUACUUGUAUCUUGCAAGAUCUACAUUUUUCUAUAAUUCAUUGUCUUCAAACGAAGCAUCUUCAUGUUUUAUACUUUGGUGUGACAAACAUUAAAUCAAAACUAUGAGGCUGAGGGGACUUUACUCUAACAUCUUUGAUAAAGUUUUAAUGUUACUAGAGAUGGAUCAACAGGGAAUAUAGGAGGAACUGAUGAUUCAGUAGGAGAAGUGGAAUACCUAUCUAUCUUCUCAAUGCUAGCAAUAUGGUUAGAAAAGAUAGGAGAAUCUAUUCUGUAGGUUGAUAUGGGGUUGGAAGACAUUUACUUUUUCUGAAAAGCUAGAGGGAAAUAAAAAUUUAGUAGAGGGUGUCAAAAUAGUGAAAGCGAAUCUGGGAGAAAAGUUUGCUAAAAGAAUUCUUCUGGAGAAAGUGGGUCUACAAGACGGUUUGAAAAAGGUUCUAGAUAUCAUUUUUAUAGAGUAAAAUUUAAGUCUAAAUCAAGCUCACAAAAUUGGCUUGAUAAGGUAGGUUUGUACUCACUUAUAUAUUAUAAUUUGAUCAUAUCUCUGAUUGAUGAGAGAUUUUCAACACUAACUUCAUCCAUGGGACCACUGCACCUUUUCUGAUCGUUGUCCUACAAAUAUAUUUGUGUAUGUGAUGUGUGGUACCUACCCAUGUAUUUCUGUUGGGUGUAUGGUUGCAAUAUUGUAUUUCUCAUGUUUACUUCUUUGGGUCUAGUGUCUGAUGGGUGCUUUUUGUCAUGUUGUUAAUCCUUAUAUGGAAAUAGAUCCCUAUAUUUGUAUAUAUUAAAUGGUUUUCCUAGUCCAAUUCCUUAAUAUCUGUGCCUGGUUCUUUUGCAAAAUUUGCAGUUAAUGGCUCUUUUACUUCUGAAGUAUGUUGCUCCCCUCUUCAAUGCUGAUGUGGAGAAAGUUUUAACGUAUUUUUAUUUUUUCUUUCUUCGUACGGCGGCUGUUGUCCUUCCUUGGUAUCUUAUGGCCUGGAUAAUUCGCGUAAUACAGCAUCAAAGGCAAAGACAACAAGCACCUGAAGAACUUGCAUUUAUGCUACAAGCAGACGAACAAGGUUAGCAGUUUGCAAUAUCACCAGGAUCUAUUUUUCACUGAUUAAUUCCCGUAAGUGCUGUGGAAUGCCAUCCCUAAUACAAGGACCUUAGAAAUUGUGGUUGGAUCAGUAGUGCAACAGAAUAAGAUCUGACGGCCCUGUUUCUGGUUCUCCAUUUGUAUCUUUCUCGGGUUAUAAUACCCCACCUCCCUCCUUUUCUCACUCUUUCUUCUGUAAAUAGGUAUAUUAUACAUAAUCUCAUCACCCCAAAUACAGCUUAUAUAGCUGCUGAUUGGGAAAUUGGUGUUAUCUGGAAAUGUUCAACUAUGAAAAUAUCUGUAUACAAAUUUGUAGUUUAUUGAUGUCAUUAAUAUAUUAUGAAAAUAGAAUAAAUUGACCAAACAUAUUUCAAACUUUAUUUUGGCCUUUUACUAUUAUUUUUUAGUAUCAGCGAAGAAGUGUAGUUUAUGUUAACCUGCCUAACUUAAAAUAAUCUGUCGUUCAAAUUCAAGAUUUGCAUGCCAUUUUUGUUGUUAUCAACCAACUUCUAUGAUGAACUCUCAGGGGUAGCAGAGCUGAAAAGGGAAAUUGAUCAUUGAUUUCUAUCUUCGAACAAAUUAUUUGAAUGUGCGGCUGCAGCAUUCUCCCAAUAGCCGAAAUGACAUGGCUGAUGGAAUUGUUUUAAAUUACGGUUGCAGUUUCAUGCAGUUCUUGAAAUUUUGUGAAAUUGUUGUUGAUGGGGGCGAUUAAAACCAUAAACCAUGUUUGCUGGUCAGCGUUGGCUCAACAAAGUAUGUAGUAUGGCUGCUUUCGCAUCUAGGACGAGCUCCUCCUGCCAUCACCACCACCGGACUACCUUAUACCACCAACAAGCUCUUCUAGGAAGCUCUGACACCUCCAAACAAGCACACCACAGUAAUCACACCACCACAAAGAAGCCCACCAGCACAGGGAAGGAGGAAGAAGAAAUGUGAUUUCUAUGGUGGGAUGUGGGGACUGCUUUAAAUGAAGUGGUUGAAUAUUGGCUAAAAGUUUUUUUUUUUUAACUACAUUUAAAUUUUUGGUAAGGGCAAAUGGGAAAUUGGAAGGUGCAUAGAAAAGACUGUAAUGGUGUAAGGAGAAAC